rnacentral:rRNA from 1 species
ACUGAAUAGAUACCCGGGUAGUCCACGCCCUAAACUAUGUCGACUAGUUGUCGGGCCUUAUUGGGCUUGGUAAACGUAGCUAAACACGUGAAAGUUGACCGCCUGGGGAGUACGGUCGCAAGAUUAAAACUCAAAGGAAUUGACGGGGACCCGCACAAGCGGUGGAUUAUGUGGAUUAAUUCGAUGCAACGCGAAAAACCUUACCUACCCUUGACAUGUCAGAAAGUUUUCAGAGAUGAAAUCGUGCUCGAAAGAGAAUCUGAACACAGGUGCUGCAUGGCUGUCGUCAGCUCGUGUCGUGAGAUGUUGGGUUAAGUCCCGCAACGAGCGCAACCCUUGUCAUUAAUUGCCAUCAUUUGGUUGGGCACUUUAAUGAGACUGCCGGUGAUAAACCGGAGGAAGGUGGGGAUGACGUCAAGUCCUCAUGGCCCUUAUGGGUAGGGCUUCACACGUAAUACAAUGGCGCGUACAGAGAGUUGCCAACUCGCGAGAGGGAGCUAAUCUCAGAAAGCGCGUCGUAGUCCGGAUCGGAGUCUGC